rnacentral:rRNA from 1 species
GAUGAACGCUGGCGGCGUGCCUAAUACAUGCAAGUCGAGCGAACAGACGAGGAGCUUGCUCCUCUGACGUUAGCGGCGGACGGGUGAGUAACACGUGGAUAACCUACCUAUAAGACUGGGAUAACUUCGGGAAUCCGGAGCUAAUACCGGAUAAUAUAUUGAACCGCAGGGUUCAAUAGUGAAAGACGGUUUUGCUGUCUCUUAUAGAUGGAUCUGCGCCGCAUUAGCUAGUUGUUAAGGUAAAGGCUUACCAAGGCGACGAUGCGUAGCCGACCUGUGAGGGUGAUAGGCGACCUUGGAACUGAGACACCGACCAGACUCCUAAGAGAGGCAGCAGUAGGCAACGUUCCGCAAUGGGCGGAAGCAUGACGGAACAACGCCGCGUGAGUGAUGAAGGUCUUCGGAUCGGAAAGAUCUGUUAUUAGGGAAGAACAAAUGUGUAAGUAACUAUGCCCGUCUUGACGGUAACUAAUCAGAAAGCCACGGCUAACUACGUG